AGAGUUUGAUCAUGGCUCAGAUUGAACGCUGGCGGCAGGCCUAACACAUGCAAGUCGAGCGGCAGCGGGGGGAAGCUUGCUUCCCCGCCGGCGAGCGGCGGACGGGUGAGUAAUGUCUGGGAAACUGCCUGAUGGAGGGGGAUAACUACUGGAAACGGUAGCUAAUACCGCAUAACGUCGCAAGACCAAAGAGGGGGACCUUCGGGCCUCUUGCCAUCGGAUGUGCCCAGAUGGGAUUAGCUAGUAGGUGGGGUAAAGGCUCACCUAGGCGACGAUCCCUAGCUGGUCUGAGAGGAUGACCAGCCACACUGGAACUGAGACACGGUCCAGACUCCUACGGGAGGCAGCAGUGGGGAAUAUUGCACAAUGGGCGCAAGCCUGAUGCAGCCAUGCCGCGUGUGUGAAGAAGGCCUUCGGGUUGUAAAGCACUUUCAGCGGGGAGGAAGGGAGCAGGCUUAAUACGUCUGUUCAUUGACGUUACCCGCAGAAGAAGCACCGGCUAACUCCGUGCCAGCAGCCGCGGUAAUACGGAGGGUGCAAGCGUUAAUCGGAAUGACUGGGCGUAAAGCGCACGCAGGCGGUCUGUUAAGUUGGAUGUGAAAUCCCCGGGCUUAACCUGGGAACUGCAUUCAAAACUGACAGGCUAGAGUCUCGUAGAGGGGGGUAGAAUUCCAGGUGUAGCGGUGAAAUGCGUAGAGAUCUGGAGGAAUACCGGUGGCGAAGGCGGCCCCCUGGACGAAGACUGACGCUCAGGUGCGAAAGCGUGGGGAGCAAACAGGAUUAGAUACCCUGGUAGUCCACGCUGUAAACGAUGUCGAUUUGGAGGUUGUGGUCUUGAACCGUGGCUUCCGGAGCUAACGCGUUAAAUCGACCGCCUGGGGAGUACGGCCGCAAGGUUAAAACUCAAAUGAAUUGACGGGGGCCCGCACAAGCGGUGGAGCAUGUGGUUUAAUUCGAUGCAACGCGAAGAACCUUACCUACUCUUGACAUCCAGAGAAGACUGCAGAGAUGCGGUUGUGCCUUCGGGAGCUCUGAGACAGGUGCUGCAUGGCUGUCGUCAGCUCGUGUUGUGAAAUGUUGGGUUAAGUCCCGCAACGAGCGCAACCCUUAUCCUUUGUUGCCAGCACUUCGGGUGGGAACUCAAGGGAGACUGCCGGUGAUAA
rnacentral:rRNA from 1 species